UUCUAGACACCGAGCUGCUCUGCAAGUCACCAUGCCGCGUGGAAGCCGGAGCCGCACCUCCCGCAUGGCCCCUCCGGCCAGCCGGGCACCUCAGAUGAGAGCGGCGCCUAGACCAGCGCCGGCAGCUCAGCCUCCGGCAGCGGCUCCACCAGCUGCUGUCGGCUCACCUGCUGCUGCGCCCCGGCAGCCGGGUCUCAUGGCCCAGAUGGCAACCACUGCAGCUGGCGUGGCUGUGGGCUCUGCUGUCUGGCACACGAUAGGUCAUGCCAUCACUGGGGGCUUCGGUGGAGGAGGCAAUGCUGAGCCUUCAGGCCUGACAUCACUUACCAGGAGCCUCAGGGAACCCAGCCAGCGUACCAGGAGCAGCAGCAGUCCGGCCCCAUGCCACUAUGAGAUCAAACAGUUUCUGGAGUGUGACCAGAACCAGGGUGACCUGAAGCUUUGUGAAGGUUUCAGCGAGGUGCUGAAACAAUGCAGAUUUGCAAAUGGAUUAGCCUAAUCAAGAAGUUCAAAUUGAAGACAUGGAAAAUCAUCUCUCAUACCCAAGUUAAUUUAGCAUAAAAAUAUAAUUGGUGGUGAAUAUAUAAAGUGUAAAACCACCAGUUAAGCUUCUCCUUCAUCAUUAAAUACAGCUUUCUUCAGAAUUGGAAUGAAACAGGUUGUUCUUACUGUAUAGAAGUUCAUGAGAUGGUUUGAAUUUGGGGUUGGGCAGAUAUUUGUGUGCCUCCUUAAAUCACCUUUUGUGAUGUUCUCAUUUGUGAAUUAAUUAGAAUAAAGUGAUUUUCUCCC